rnacentral:rRNA from 1 species
AGGUGGUGCACGGUUGUCGUCAGCUCGUGUCGUGAGAUGUUGGGUUAAGUCCGCAACGAGCGCAACCCCUGUCCUAUGUUGCCAGCAUUAAGUUGGGGACUCAUGGGAGACUGCCGGCGUCAAGCCGGAGGAAGGUGGGGAUGACGUCAAGUCAUCAUGCCCCUUAUGUCUUGGGCUGCACACGUGCUACAAUGGCCGGUACAAUGGGCUGCGAUGGGGUGACCCGGAGCGAAUCCCACAAAACCGGCCCCAGUUCGGAUCGAAGGCUGCAACUCGCCUUCGUGAAGUCGGAGUUGCUAGUAAUCGCGGAUCAGCAUGCCGCGGUGAAUACGUUCCCGGGCCUU